rnacentral:rRNA from 1 species
GACGAACGCUGGCGGCGUGCCUAAUACAUGCAAGUCGAACGCUGAAGGAAGGAGCUUGCUCUUUCCGGAUGAGUUGCGAACGGGUGAGUAACGCGUAGGUAACCUGCCUGGUAGCGGGGGAUAACUAUUGGAAACGAUAGCUAAUACCGCAUAACAGUAGAUGUUGCAUGAUAUCUACUUAAAAGGUGCAAUUGCACCACUACCAGAUGGACCUGCGUUGUAUUAGCUAGUUGGUGAGGUAACGGCUCACCAAGGCGACGAUACAUAGCCGACCUGAGAGGGUGAUCGGCCACACUGGGACUGAGACACGGCCCAGACUCCUACGGGAGGCAGCAGUAGGGAAUCUUCGGCAAUGGACGGAAGUCUGACCGAGCAACGCCGCGUGAGUGAAGAAGGGUGUCGGAUCGUAAAGCUCUGUUGUAAGAGAAGAACGAGUGUGAGAGUGGAAAGUUCACACUGUGACGGUAGCUUACCAGAAAGGGACGGCUAACUACGUG